GACGAACGCUGGCGGCGUGCUUAACACAUGCAAGUCGAGCGGAGCGGCGACCGGGUGAGUAACGCGUGAGUAACUGCCCACCUCUCUGGGAUAACAGUUGGAAACGGUUGCUAAUACUGGAUAGUGGGGGAUGACUCGCGGCCUAUCAGCUUGUUGGUGGGUGAGUGGGCUACCAAGGCGACGACGGGUAGCCGGCCUGGGAGGGCGACCGGCCACAUUGGGCUGAGAUACGCACCAAACGCCUACUGUGGGCAGCAGUGGGGAAUAUUGCGCAAUCGGGCAAACCGUGAUUCAGCAACGCCGCGUGCGGGAUGACGGCCUUCGGGUGGGAAACCGCUGUCAGCCAUGACGCGGUAGUGGCAGAAGAAGCACCGGCUAACUACGUGCCAGCAGCCGCGGUAAUAC
rnacentral:rRNA from 1 species